rnacentral:rRNA from 1 species
GACGAACGCUGGCGGCGUGCCUAACACAUGCAAGUUGAGCGACGAACCAGGGCUUGCCCUGGCGCAAAGCAGCGAACGGGUGAGUAACACGUGGGUAACCUACCCCAAUAACCGGGACAACCCGAGGAAACUCGGGCUAAUACCGGAUGUGCGCACUAGACUUCGGUGCAGUGCGUAAAGUAAGCUACGGCCUCCGUAUCGGAAGAGGCUCGCGGCCCGUUCGUUCGUUGGUGGGGUAACGGCUUACCAAGACGGCGAGGGGUAGCCGGUCGGAGCGGACGAUCCGCCACUGUGGGACUGAGACGAGGCCCAGACCUGGACGGGAGGCAGGAGCGGGGAACCUAGCGGAGGGCGCGAAGGCGAGACGUAGAAAAGGCGCGUGGGGGAAGACGGCCUUCGCGUUGUAAACCACUUUCAGGAGGGAGGAAGGAUGGGCGGUUAACAGCCGUCCGAACUGAAGGUACGUCAAAAAGAAGCCCCGGUUAACUACGU